UCCUCGGUAGCUCAACGGUGGAGCAUCCGGCUGUUAACCGGAGGGUUGUAGGUUCGAAUCCUACCCGGGGAG
rnacentral:tRNA from 4 species